rnacentral:rRNA from 1 species
GCCAGACUCCUACGGGAGGCAGCAGUGGGGAAUAUUGCACAAUGGGCGAAAGCCUGAUGCAGCGACGCCGCGUGAGUGAAGAAGUAUUUCGGUAUGUAAAGCUCUAUCAGCAGGGAAGAAAAUGACGGUACCUGACUAAGAAGCCCCGGCUAACUACGUGCCAGCAGCCGCGGUAAUACGUAGGGGGCAAGCGUUAUCCGGAUUUACUGGGUGUAAAGGGAGCGUAGACGGCGAAGCAAGUCUGAAGUGAAAUCCCAUGGCUUAACCAUGGAACUGCUUUGGAAACUGUGCAGCUGGAGUGCAGGAGAGGUAAGCGGAAUUCCUAGUGUAGCGGUGAAAUGCGUAGAUAUUAGGAGGAACACCAGUGGCGAAGGCGGCUUACUGGACUGUAACUGACGUUGAGGCUCGAAAGCGUGGGGAGCAAACAGGAUUAGAUACCCCGGUAGA